UACAGAGGGUGCGAGCGUUAAUCGGAAUUACUGGGCGUAAAGCGCGCGUAGGCGGCUUUGCAAGUCGGGUGUGAAAUCCCCAGGCUUAACCUGGGAACUGCAUUCGAGACUGCAUUGCUAGAGUAUGGGAGAGGGAAGUGGGAUUUCCGGUGUAGCGGUGAAAUGCGUAGAUAUCGGAAGGAACAUCAGUGGCGAAAGCGACUUCCUGGACCAAUACUGACGCUCAUGUGCGAAAGCGUGGGGAGCAAACAGG
rnacentral:rRNA from 1 species